rnacentral:rRNA from 1 species
GAGUAACACGUAUCCAACCUGCCCUUUACUCGGGGAUAGCCUUUCGAAAGAAAGAUUAAUACCCGAUGGUAUAACAUGACCUCCUGGUUUUGUUAUUAAAGAAUUUCGGUAGAGGAUGGGGAUGCGUUCCAUUAGGCAGUUGGCGGGGUAACGGCCCACCAAACCUUCGAUGGAUAGGGGUUCUGAGAGGAAGGUCCCCCACAUUGGAACUUGAGACACGGUCCAAACUCCUACGGGAGGCAGCAGUGAGGAAUAUUGGUCAAUGGGCGAGAGCCUGAACCAGCCAAGUAGCGUGAAGGAUGACCGCCCUAUGGGUUGUUAAACUUCUUUUAUAUGGGAAUAAAGUUUGCCACGUGUGGCAUUUUGUAUGUACCAUAUGAAUAAGGAUCGGCUAACUCCGUGCCAGCAGCCGCGGUAAUACGGAGGAUCCGAGCGUUAUCCGGAUUUAUUGGGUUUAAAGGGAGCGUAGGUGGACAUGUAAGUCAGUUGUGAAAGUUUGCGGCUCAACCGUAAAAUUGCAGUUGAUACUGCGUGUCUUGAGUACAGUAGAGGUGGGCGGAAUUCGUGGUGUAGCGGUGAAAUGCUUAGAUAUCACGAAGACUCCGAUUGCGAAGGCAGCUCACUGGACUGCAAC